UACGUAGGGUGCUAGCGUUGUCCGGAAUCAUUGGGCGUAAAGAGCGCGUAGGCGGCCAGAUAAGUCCGGUGUGAAAGUCACAGGCUCAACCUGUGAAUGCCGCUGGAAACUGUCUGGCUAGAGUCCGGGAGGGGCGAGUGGAAUUCCUGGUGUAGCGGUGAAAUGCGCAGAUAUCGGGAGGAACACCAAUGGCGAAGGCAGCUCGCUGGGACGGUACUGACGCUGAGACGCGAAAGCGUGGGGAGCAAACAGG
rnacentral:rRNA from 1 species